AUUGAACGCUGGCGGCAGGCCUAACACAUGCCAGUCGAGCGGAUGAAGGGAGCUUGCUCCUGGAUUCAGCGGCGGACGGGUGAGUAAUGCCUAGGAAUCUGCCUGGUAGUGGGGGAUAACGUCCGGAAACGGGCGCUAAUACCGCAUACGUCCUGAGGGAGAAAGUGGGGGAUCUUCGGACCUCACGCUAUCAGAUGAGCCUAGGUCGGAUUAGCUAGUUGGUGGGGUAAAGGCCUACCAAGGCGACGAUCCGUAACUGGUCUGAGAGGAUGAUCAGUCACACUGGAACUGAGACACGGUCCAGACUCCUACGGGAGGCAGCAGUGGGGAAUAUUGGACAAUGGGCGAAAGCCUGAUCCAGCCAUGCCGCGUGUGUGAAGAAGGCCUUCGGAUUGUAAAGCACUUUAAGUUGGGAGGAAGGGCAGUAAGUUAAUACCUUGCUGCUUUGACGUUACCAACAGAAUAAGCACCGGCUAACUUCGUG
rnacentral:rRNA from 1 species